ensembl:lncRNA
UUUUUUUUUUUUUUUUUUAAAGCAUGAUCCGACUAUAGGCCACCAUGAUGUAAGCAAAAUUGUUAUGCGGCUACUUUCUUUAAAAGGCAGCUGGCACAGGUCCUUUUUCCUUCUUGGUUUUCCCUCCAUCCUGCCUCUUGAAAAACAUAUGCGCUGGCUGCCACACCAACUUAGACGAUGAGGGCAAGGCAACAACAUAGGGAUAACGGUAGAAAAAGCCAGAGCAGCCUGGCUUUCUGAGUACUUGUUAGAGCAGAGCUGCUACGCCGACUCUGUGCUUCCUCUCCUUGGAUUCUUGGUUCAGAGAAAAAUAAAUCUCUAUGUCAUGUAAACCCUGUUACAGGGUGGUUUUCUAUUCUUUGCAGCUGAACAUAAUCCUCACUGAUGCUGAAGAGCUGUACCUACUGAGAGCUAGUAUGGUCUAUCACUGUGCCAAGCCCGUCACAAAAAUGAUUCUAAUGAACGGAGGAAUUUACUCUUUUUCGCAUUUUAUAAUGCUGAGGAAACUACUGUUUAGAGAAGUUCAGUGACUUGGCGAAGGUCACACAUCUCAUCUGCCCAAUGCAAACCUGUUUAGUCUAAUCUGAAGGCCUGGGCUGUUAACCUCAACAGUGUAGGUGUUGAAACCAAGAGAAACCUACUGAAAUCCCCCCAAAAGAGGCUUGGCUGAAAGGCUUCCUCCCAGUCACACAAACCCACGAUGAGCUCAAAGAAAGCUUUGAUUCAUCAGGCAUUUCUUUUUUAUUUUAUAUUAUCUUUGUCUUUCUAGGGCUGCACCCAUGGCACCAGGAGGUUCUCAGGCUAGGGGUCAAAUUGUAGCUGCAGCCACUGGUCUGUGCCACAACCACAGCAACACCAGAUCCGAGCCACAUCUGUAACCUACACCAUAGCUCACGGCAAUGCCAGCUCCUUAACCCACUGAGCACGGCCAGGGAUCGAACCUGCAUCCUCCUGGACACUAGUUGGAUUCAUUUCUGCUGAGCCAUGACAGGAACUCCUCAUUAGGCAUUUCUAAAACGUUGGCUGAGCUUUUUUUUUUAACCCAUUAUUCUCUUAGACAUAAUCAAUUUACUAAUCAAUCAUCCCUCAUUCAUUUAGUAAAUAUUUAUGAGGGCUUUAUGGUGCCAGGCCUUGAGAUAAGCCAGGGGAAUGAACCAAGUGACACCAACUGAUUUCUCCCAGGGGGCCCCAUUAUGACACUGAGCUCAUUUACUCUGAAAGGUGAUUUUUCCACAUCUCAGGGCUCAGCUCCAAGCCUAAGAUGUCAAACAAGCAGAGGGGUUCGCUGGUGAAGUCAGUUCUCCCAGAAGCCCUCUUGUUCUGCCCCAUCUGCUCUGUGAGGAUUGAGGUCCAUUUUUCCCUUUUGUGUCUCUAACAUGGCAACAGGAGACUUUGAUGUCUCACCUUGCAGAGGGGAGACGAAAGGGCAGAGAUGCUUGAGAGAUGGUGGCCAAAAAAGCUUUGAGACCAUGCCAAGCCCCCACAGUGUGGCCGGGUCUUUCCUCUAUGUUCCCCAGAAUGAAAAGUGGAUUCUUCUAGCUUCCCUCUCACUCCCACGUCCCCACCCAGCUCUCGGCUCCUGGCAGUGCCAGCACUCACAUCCAGGGAUAAGAGUCCAAAGCACCUCCUUCUCCUCUGACAAUAAAAUACAGCAACCAUUUGGCAUCCCAGUGGUGCCCCAGUCUCCUGACCCCUGGCUGGGUCCCAGGGGAUUUGUGGUCGGCUGCUAAUCAGAGCCCUGGCCAUAGCCAUUUCCCAUGACAUAGCUGGAAUUCUCCCACUGCCUGCCCUCCCCGGCUUCAGUUACCCGGCCAGGCUGAAACUAUGUGCUCCCCUCCCACCCUGUCCAUCAUUGCCCCGUCCUGAGGCCAUGCCUCUGCACCCACCCGCUGGCCAGGCUCCUGAGGCCCUGGGCGGGGGAGCUGCAAAGCUCUCUCCACUUUUAUUACUGACCCGCAACCCACCCCCUGCACUCCUUCAGCCCACAAGACUCCUUUCAAGCGCCCUCCUCUCGAGCAAUGAUAAACCUUGGUGCCCGAGACGUUUAAAGGGAAACAGCCAUCCCACCGAUAUCAGAAAGGAGGUCAAGUGUGUGAUUUUCAAGCUGUGGUCAUAAAACAGUUGUCUUUUCUUUGUCACUUCUGGUUAAUAUGCCUACACACUAGAAAACCAGCCUCUGCCCUUUUGGAGGGCUCGUGCUCAGCCUACCUGGGAAGGAAUGUUUUGCCAAGGAGAAUACACCAUGCAGUACUGACUGCAAGGAUUAUGGAGCCAGGCUGCUGAGGUCACAGCCCAGCUCCUCAGACUGCAUAGCCAGGGGACCUUGGACGAGGCACGGAACCUUCCUGGGCCUCGGUCGCCGCUUGGGACAAAGAAGAACCUAAGAGGGCCACUCCCUCAGCUUGGGAGGGGUCGUGCACGGAUUCAGAUUUGUAAAGGAUAAGAAGACUAGAUCCAUGUUUGGUGAAAAAAUACUCCGUGUAUAUGGGAUCGUCUGUUCACUUUCACAACAGCUUGAUGAGGUUAUUAUUCUCUCCUUAGAGAAAACGCGCUUGGAUGUCGCAGUGUCACAGAAGUUUGCCUGUGGUCAGACAGUAAGUGGCAGGGCGGGGAUUGGAACUUGGGCUGUACUUCCUAUUAUGACAGUGGUUCUCAGAGCGAAGUCCCGGACCACCUAGGAGUUUGGUAGAAAUACAAAUUAUCCGGUCCCGCCCAGACCUCCUGACUCAGGAUCUCAAGGGUGGGUCCAGCGCUGUUUUAACCAGGCCUCCGGGAAGGCGCGAGACCCCACUGUUAAGAUGCACCAUCCCCCCUUUCCCCCCCAACAGCAGGAGCAGGGUCUCCCUUCCUUCCCAUCUCCUGGGAAUUGGUACAAAGUAAACAUAUGCUGCAGACGCCUCUCAAACAACAUGCAGAAACACAGGUCUUCUGGGUGCCAAGUGUUGUGCUGGAUGCCACGAGGACACAGAGAAACGUGAGCUUCCUGCCUGCAGCAUAGUCCCUCGUUAUCAAGCCCAGACAAGCAUGGGCAUGAAGUCAUAUCCAACAGCACAGACCGACCGCACUAGGAGUCAAAAGCACCAGCCUUCAGAGGCUGGGGGUUGGAGGGAGGGAUGGGUCCAAGAGGCUGGGUGCAAGUCCUGGCCUCCAUUCUCUUGAGCUGGGACUUCAGUGAAGUCGCGUGAGGUCACUGUGCCUGACCCCUACCCGUCUCGAGGGGCUGCUCCAAGGAUGAACUGAAGUCAGGAAAACCACCUUGGAUGGUGCCCAGCACAUGGCGCAGAGCUUAGUCACUAAACGACCAGGGUCACCGUUAAGAUCUGUCACCAGAUGCCCCAGGUUUCAUUGCGAAAUCCUGAUAGAAAGAGAAGGCGGGGGUGGGAAGGAAGACUUACAGAGAAGGGAACACUGGAGCUGGAUUUCAAGCAGGGCGAAAGUCUCAUAGAUGGACACAAGGGAAAAGAAGAAAUGGUGCCACCGAUGAUGAAAAAAGGGACAUUAAAAGGCACACCAGGCCAAAUCACUCUUACCUGCCUGACUCUCACCUUGAACCUGCAGACUCACACACAGGAAAGCCAAACUGUACUCAAGCAUAUCACGCGCCCAGACGCAGGCUUUCCAAGCCAGGCCCUGUUUUACCAGCAGGUGCCCAGGACAAAGGCUGUGGAUGUCCCUAUGGCCGUUCCUUUGUCUCUGGACGUGCUCUGAAGGCACAUCUGAAACAUAACUCACGUGCUGAGCAAAAGAGCCCCAAAGAGUUGAAGCUCUGAUUCUCCCACAUUGCCUUGCUGUUCUGGAGGCCUAAACCUUCACCAAAGUGAUCAGGCAGACAGCAUGGGCUAUUAGCCCAGAGCCAGGGCAAAAAAGUCUGGGAACCUCAUUUUGCCUUUGUCCAGGGCACACACAGAAAUACUGAAGACGUCCGAGAACGACUUCCUAGACCAUGGCAGGGUGGGGACAUGAUCAGGCCCGUCCUGUCCCAUCUUGGGACCUGCAGGCUACUUUCCCUUGUCCAACUCUCCGAGGCGCAUUCCUCAGACUCGCGCCCUGGUAGUUCCUGUGGGGUCUGGGCAGAGGUGGUGCUGCUGGUGGGCCCAGCUGAGAGCAGUUCUGGGGCAGAGAGCAGAGUGUAACCACGAGACCACGGGAGACGGGCAGGAGGCCCAUCUCGAGCUGUGCUCUGACAGCACCCAACUCCCCUCAACCCGCACCCCCAUGAGGUAGGUUCUGGAAGGCUUUUAGCAAAUCAAGAUGUUUUGGCUGCUCUUUUUCAAAGCCAGGGUAAAGCAACCCAAGACAGAGCAACAAGACCGCAUUUUUGAAAGUCUAGCCUAUUGUUUUAGAAUUUCCCUUGAAGGCCCUCUAAACACCACCCUCAGACUCCCCACCGAGACCGGUAAAUACAAGUCAACGGGAGGGAAGAUGUGAGCUGAAGGAUUUCCAGCCAAUUCACUUCCCAUGGAGAAAGCUUUGCAUCCAAAGGUCUCACUGCAGAAAGUUGGGGUGGCUGGCGGGGUGGGGAUGGGGCGAGGGUGGCUCAGGACCGCAGAAUCUCUUCCUGAAGCAGCCGCGGAGUCUGUGGUUCCCUCCUGCGCCAUUGUUUUAGUACAAAUGAUCACUGUGGCUUCGGGGUGUGCCUCCUCUCUGGGUGGGAUGGUAAAGGGACUGACUGACUGUAACAGGACCCAGCCCCAGAGUCUAUGCCACUGGUGGCAAACGCGGCUCCUGCGUUUUCCCAUUCUCUCUGGGCUGUGCUCUCAUCUCCUGUGAGUCAGCCUUUUCCCGGGCGGUACCCAGCCAAACCCUCCAGGCUCAGGCUCUGCUGGAUCAAGAGCCGUUGUUUGGGUUGGGGGCAAUGACCGUGCCCUUUCCUGCUGGUAUGUGGCGCUAUUGUUCUCGGGGCCCAGGGCUGCUUUUAUCCCUGGCAUUCCAACCAUGGGGAUUAGCGGAUCUGUGCCUGUCUCACCAGGUUGCUUUCUACUUCACUUAACGGCAAGCCGACCACGGCUCUAUCCCCUGGUGUCACAUGCAUGGCUGGCCACCCUGAGGUGGCACCCCCCAAGGCUUUGCACACAAAGGUGGGGGUCAGGCCAGCCGGGAUGAUGUUGUACCACAGGAUGCCUAGGGGUCAGCCCCAGCGGGCCACUCGCUGUUGUGCCCCUUGGGGCUGGUCCCUGCCCCAGCUACAUCCUGGUUUUCCCAUCUUUCAAAUGGCAGCAGGAACCCAGGUCCUCCUGGACCUGAAGAAGGACGAAGGGAGGCACCAUACGAAUGCAAAGCACCUGCAGGCCCCCUGGCGCAUCGUCACUGCUCAGGGAAUGCUAGAUCCCUCUGCCCUCUCUGAGGGAGACGGGCAGCGGGGGGGGGCACCUGCCUCACCAACCCCGCAGGGCUGCUGGAAGGAGCAAGUAAUGCAAAAUAUGUGAAAGCAUGAGAAACCUCCAAAGGGCUACACGCACAAGAGAAUACUAUGAUGAUCCACGCAUGCGUGAGGCGUCUUAACUUGAGCCCGGAGGGGUCCUCCUGUAGGCGGUCGGCCAACAGAUCAGAGGAGGGUCUGUGGCCUUCCGUCCUGCCCAUCCUGAAAACAACUUUUCUGAAAGCCAGAAACAGAGGGCAGGGCGGCGACUUCAUUGCUGCAUCUGCUACAUGUAAAAAACAACUUGUAUAAUAACUGAGUAUCUGCAAAUAAUAAUAAAGGCAACUGUGUGGCAAAAUAUGAAAGUAUUAAAAGAUAAUAUACUGGGGUAGAUUAAAAAAAAACUAGCUCACAUUUAUGGAGCACAUGCUAUGUGUGAGGCGCUCUUGAGUUGUUAUUUUUGUUUGUUUUGUUUGUUUGUUUGUUUUGCUUUUUAGGGCUGCACCCGGGGCAUAUGGAGGUUCCCGGGCUAGGGGUCCAAUCGGAGCUGCAGCUGCUGGCCUACGCCACAGCCACAGCAACAAAGGAUCCGAGCCACAUCUGCGACCUACACCACAGCUCAUGGCAACGCCAGAUCCUUAACCCACUGAGCAAGGUCAGGGAUUGAACCCGCAUCCUCAUGGAUACAAGUGGGAUUCGUUUCCACGGCGCCACAAUGGGAACUCCAAGUUUUCUGUGUAUGUCACUAUUACAUUUCCUCCACACGACCCAGGCACUCAUUUGUUCCCUCAAUCACCAGUGCCCUUCCCUAGACACCCACACGGCUGCUCCCCCAUCUUCUUCCAGGCGUUACUCAAAUGUCACCUUCUCAGUGAGGGCUCCUCUGGCUACCUUAUCCAACGUUCCCUUGCCACCUGCAGUCAUCUUUGCUUUGUAACUGUUCUUUCCAGAAUAUAUCACUACCCAACCCACCAGUCGCUUUAUGUGUUUUACCUUAUUUCAUACAUCCCCUCACCAGAAUAUGAGCUCCCCGCCUCGAGGGCUCCUAUGUUGCUCUUUCAUUCCCAGCUAUGUCCCCAGCUCCCCUGGAACAAAAGAGAGUCUGAGUGUCUAACUCGGCACGGGAGCUCAAUGGACAUUUUUCAAGGGAAUGAAAUACACUUUCUAAAAAAACUCAAGUGUAGUUGAUUUACAGUGUUUUAGGUAUACAGCAAAGAGAAUCAGUUAUAUAUAUAUAAAAUAUAUGUGUAUAUGAUAUAUGUGUGUGUGCAUAGACACACAUAUACAUAUUUUUUCCAAUUCUUUUCCAUUACAGGUUAUUAUAAGACAUUGACUGUAGCCUCCUGUGCUAUAGAGUAGGACCUUAUUAUUUAUUUUCUAUAGAGCAGUGUGCAUCUGUUAAUCCUAUACCCCUCAUUGAUCUGCUCCUCCCCUUUGGUAAAUAAUACGUUUGUUUUCUUGAGGAGGGGAGUACUAGAUUAUCGUGCCUAUUUCACCGAUAAAGAUACUGAGGCACAGGGAGGUGAAGUAACUUGCCCAAGGUCACACAGUAAAGAUCAAAGCCAGGUUCCGACUCCAGAAAUCUCGCCCUGUAUUCUUUGACCUUUUCAUCCAAGGUUGGCGCCUGUGCUAACACUACCAUUUUUUACCCUCUUCCUCCUCCUCUUCUGGGGUCACUGCUUUUGUUUCCAGCUCUCUCUUCCAUGGAGACCCGUGCCUGCCCCAAGGGACCCGUUCACGCUGAGAUUCAGACUCCUUUGCGGACACAUGUUCUUAAUGAGAAAACUGCCGCCUGGUCAAUGAUUCACUCAUGCUCAGAUGCUUCAUUUAGCAGCGGGUACAUCAAGGUACACGAUCUCCGUGUUAUUGUUGGCAGGACCCCAGGGAUCUUCUUCAGCAAU